CAUAUAAAUGUUUUUUCUCCUAUCAUUUUUGUUGACAUGAUGAUAGGUUCUGGAAUUUUGGAGUUAACAAAUCUGUUUACAUAUUUGUUUGUCAGGCACACAUAGCUCCGGCUGCCGCGGAUAGGCAGUACUCAACGAAUGAUAUCCUCCUGACUCUGACUGAACCCUGUUUCAUGCAAACAUGCUCUGUAUUUUUUUUGGUAGGAACAUUAAGCUCUAAAGACAUAAUUAUUCAGACUGCAAGAUUUUUGCUUUGGGUUUCAGAAAAACUAUACAGACCUGCUUGUUGUAGUAUCCGUGUUAUGUAUUUAGUGUCAAAUACAAAGUUCAAAUAUCAUAUGAUACAAGGAACAGGCAUCCGAACUUUAUAAAAGUAGAUAUAGCAAACAUUAGGCUUGAUUGCAUUAAUAAUUUAUAUAGUUGCAGAUGAACUUACUUCUGGUACUAAUCCUUUGAUGCUUUUCUUUUUAUUUUCACCAGUACAAGAUUAAGCUUGACAGUGAAAUCUUGGAUAGUAUGUAACACCCUUUCUGCAUAUUUAGAAUCUGUAUGCAAACUCACACCAGGUGCCAGAUGCAUCAUAGUUAAUAAAAAAACUUCUGCUGUAAAUAAUGGAGGUACAGCUCUUUAGUAGUUUGCUUAAUUUGAUUUUAUCACCUCAAGUGUUUUACACAAAAUUUGAACUAUGUGCAUCUACUGGUUCCUUUGAAGAUUCCGCCUAAUCUUUAGAAACAGAAAAUUAGAAGUAUAUAUUGUCCGCUAGAUGCAAGCAUAAGUAGCUUAAAACUGAAACGCCGGCAUCUUGGACCUCCUCCAGGGUUUGCCAGGCUACCAAGAUCAAUAAUGUAGCGGCAUGAGGAGGGAAUUUGAUCAAGGCAUAAGUAGGGACUGUUGGUCAUUUCUAAAGAUCAGGACCCAACCAGCCUCAUUUCUAAAGAUCAGGACCCAACCAGCCUCAUUUCUAAAGAUCAGGAUCCAACCAGCCAUCCUAAUAUGAGUGUCGGAUAUUGGGAAGUUUGAAGAAGUCUAACAUGCAUAACAUUAGGAGCCCCCCUCUCCCAGUCGAGAUUAGGCAAGGCAGAUGGGAAGCAGCGGCACCCCCUCUCCCUCGAGCUCUAGAUCCAUGGUACCAGCAGCGAGGAAUGUGACUAUUGGCUCCGUUGUCUCUUAAAAGGGAGAAUGGAUAAUGCAAAUUUGGUGACUAAACUUGGAGACAAGUUCCCCGUCUCCUCUGCAUGUAUCCCUGUCUCUGUUCUUAGGAGACAUGUUGAAGAGUGUCUUCCUCUUGUUGCUUUGUAGGGCACGUCUCAGAAUCCACCAUGUCAAGAAAUGGUAGCCAAAGAUCUCCAUGGAACUGAGUGGCAUUUCUUGGUGACUUUACAAUUUGAGUAUUCAGCUUGAAGCCCUUAAAUUUC